GGCGUCCCGUGCCGGGGGCGGGCGAGGCUGCAGAGAGAGCUCGCCCUCUGUGCCUCCGGGCCGCCGUAGGAGCCAGCCCAGAGUGACAUCGUGGUGCUAAAUCAUUCGUACAGGCAGAACUGAGAUGCUGACUGUGACAGAGACAUCUUCCAAAGAGGAAUUUCAGAAGUCUGUUCUGCAGCCGUGACGCUGACAAUGUCCAGUUGGUGAAGACGGCUAAUUACGGACCACACAGACAGACAGUGAAGACUGCACACUCCACCAAGAGACCAAGAUACGGGCUACAGUUUUUUACAAGGAUAUUAUAAGAAGAAAGUGUUAUAAAAAUCAGUGAUGGAUUCACCAUGUGACAUGAUGGCCUCCAUCACUCCCCUCCAUUAAUCCCUAUCCUGCAUCCCUGUGCUGCAGCUGUGGAACCUCAUCCAUUACUGCCAUGCCGUGGGUCCACCUUAGUGCUGGUUGGAGCAAGCUGGAUGCAGCAGAAGCAAACAUAUGCUGGAGACCUGCCUGUGUAACACAGGAUGGGCUGAGAGGGCAAACUGGCUCCCUUUGGACUGUGCACACUUCUGAGGGGAAUGAAAAAGGUUGGUUGCAAAAGUUUGCUGCAGUUUGGUACAGAGGACUGAUUGGGAUGAGUCACUGAUAAAACUUCAACGUUGUGAGUUGGAACAAAAAUCUCAGUGGAACAGUAAAAGAAUCAUUUAAAUGUUUUAAAUUAUAAUUUGUCAUGAAGAAAAAGACAACACUUCAUCCAAAGGCAAUUUUACAGGAGCGAUUGCUCUGACAUGAGCAGCAGACAAUAAAGGAGGUGCCAUCCCAGGAAAAUGUUUGGAGCCAUUGGCAGGACAAGCACAGGAAGAUAAAAACUAAAAAUCCAAGUGAACUCUGGCAUAACAGUAGACAAUAUUUCAGCUGAUUAUAAUAAAGUUCCCAGUCUAAUACUUCAGUAGGAAAAGGUGCCAAUAAAGACCUUAUAGAAAAGCACACAGAAUCAGAGCUUGAUCUGUAUUUAGAACAACGGAGUUUCAGAGCACACAUGGAGCUGUCACCUGAGGACACUUUUUCCAGCAGAAAACAGAAACCCAGACUAGCUGCAUUAUUAGACACUGGGGACUUGUAAAAAUGGAGGCUGAGACAGCAAAGCAAAUUCAGUCAAACUCAGUGCUGUCAAAUCUAUCUCAUCCUGGAAUGAGAGCUGGUACUAAACUUCAUGGGGAUUCUGAGUUUCCUGGAAAUUGCAGAUGUGUAUUUUUUUCAGUAAUUGCCAUAUAAGAGAUCCUUUAAUUUUCUAGCAACAUCCUCUUAAUACUCUCUGCAGACUCAUCAGCCUUCACUGGUUAUUAUCCCUGACCUGAUCCAUUAGAUCGACUCCUAUUUCAGCACUGGUCUUUAUUUUAUAUUACAUAAAUAGGGUCAGGCAAAUGCAAACAUGAAAUGUGCAGUUAGAAAUAUGCAACUGUAAACAUAUUUUUGUUGGGCAAAAAAUGCAAAUACCUAAACAGAUGAAGGAAUAUAGCCCUCCUAUCAAAGGUCUUAGGCUUUCAAAAACAGAGAAUUUCAAAAUUGUCAGUAGAAGGAACAGAAUUGUAAAAAGCAUAGAAAUAAGAAUCCUGUGCUUGUCACAUUGUAUUAGCCCACCACCUACUGCACUUCAGAGCUGCAGAUUGUGAUGGGGUGAAACCUUUUAGCAGGGCCUGUUGCAAUGAAGAACAAAGGAACAAAGGAUAAGGGUUCAAAAGGAGGGUAUGUAGAUUAGAUAUAAGGAAGUUUUUAUGAUGAGGGUGGUGAAGCACUGGAACAGGCCGGCCAGGGAAGUGGCGAACGUCCCAGCCCUGGAAACAUUCAGGGUGGUCACGCUGGUCUGGUGGGAAGUGCACGGCGGUUGGGCUCGAGGGGCUUUAAAGCU